CAUGGAUGCCGAAAAUUUAAUUUCGUUAGUUCAGCAACGGUCUGUGCUAUGGGACAAAUUUAGUGAUUCAUACAAAGAUAGGAAUGCUACGAAAAGUGCUUGGCAGGAAGUUUGCGCGGAAUUAUUUCCAGACUUUCAUGCUUUUAAUGACAGCGACAAAAUUUCGAUUGAAAAUUUCCCUCAUUUGAAAUCGAUACUGAACAAGUUUUAGGAUGUCAACCAAAUUUUCAACUGUUUCAUCAAGGGGCAGAUUUCAAGCGACUUCAUCCAGCUGAAUGUGAAGUUCAGCCUGACCCGGAACGUUAUCGACGAAGAGGUGGUUAAGGCUCGGUUCGAGGAAUUCAAGACCAAACUGUCCGAUUAGUGCUCGGUGAUCGAGAUGUUUCCCUGCCCGACUCUGUCAGAACGCAAUCACCCAGCAAUCGGUCAUUCUUCGCCCAGGUUCCGCUGUGCGUUGAUGCAAAACGCGCUCAAGAAGCUGCUUCUGCUCCGAAGUACGUCCUCGAGAAAUUACGGCUGAGUGCGGUUCUGGACGAGGAUCUGCAGAAGCAGCAAUUAGAUAGUGUUUGAAAGAAAAAUAUGAUGUAAUUUUAAUCACAAAGCAUUAUUACUGCAAUGCUGAAAUAAAAAAAAAAACACUCUAGAAUGAAUGAAUAGGCACACAUUCUCUUGUAGGCAGAUUUCAAGAUGAUCACAGGAAGUGAACAGAUAAUACACAUAAAUAAGUAGUGCCCCUAGCUUGUUAGAAAUUGUUAUUAUUAUUGCUUCAUAAAAUUUUACACUUUUAUCUAACCGUGUUUCUGAGACUGUUAAAAAAUAUGUGGCAACGGAGCGUGUGAAAUAAAUCAUGCUGUUU